rnacentral:tRNA from 1 species
GGAGACGUGGCCGAGAGGUCGAAGGCACUCCCCUGCUAAGGGAGCAUGCGGGCAAAACUCGCAUCAAGGGUUCGAAUCCCUUCGUCUCCGCCA